CAAAAUCACUUAAAGCCAUUUUAGAAUUCCUGUUGAGACGUAAUGGGGUUGUCUUUAACUUUCUUCACAUUUAGACAUUUAGUUUUAUUUUCCUUCUUAAUAUUUCAUCUUGCAAUUGCUCACUUCACUUCUUCUACUCAGCCACUCUGCCAUCAUCAUGAGCGUUCUGCCUUGUUGAGUUUCAAGGAAAGCCUUGUCAUUAAUCUGACUGCUUCCUCUGAUCCUUCUGCCUACCCCAAGGUUGCAUCAUGGAAGCUGGAUGAAAAAGGUAGGGACUGCUGCUCAUGGGACGGUGUCAAAUGCAAUGAAGACACUGGCCAUGUUGUGGAGCUCGAUCUUGCUAGCAGUUGCCUCUAUGGUUCCAUCAACUCUACCAGCAGUCUCUUUCAGCUUGUCCAUCUGCAACGGCUUAGUCUCUUCGAUAACAACUUCAAUUUCUCUGAAAUCCCUUCUGAAAUCUUAAACGUUUCAAGGCUGACCCAUCUAAAUCUCUCUUGGUCUUAUUUUUCUGGUCAAAUACCAGCAGAGUUGCUAGAGCUCUCCAAUUUGGAGGUCCUUGAUCUAUCAUUUAAUAAUUUUGAUAAUUUUUAUCUGAAGCUCCAAAAGCCAGGUCUUGCAAAUCUAGCUGAGAAUUUAACCAACCUGAAAGUACUCAAUCUUAUCAAUGUCAACAUUUCUUCAACAGUUCCUCAUACUUUGGCAAAUUUAUCUUCUUUGCGUUUCUUGUCUCUCAGUGGAUGCCGUUUGCAAGGUGAAUUUCCUCAAGAGAUUUUCCAGUUACCCAACCUUCAAUUCCUUGGUGUGAUGAUCAACCCAAAUCUCACUGGAUAUUUGCCACAAUUCCAGAAAAGCAGUCGCCUUGAAGAUUUGAGAAUUUCAGCCACGAGAUUUUUAGGUAAAAUUCCAGAUUCAAUAGAAAAUCUUCAAUCGUUAUCUUACUUGGAUAUUAGAGAAUGCUCCUUUGUAGGAAAAAUUCCAUCUUCACUUGGUAACCUUACCAAGCUCGAAUAUCUAUACUUUUCUGGUGGUAAUGGAUUUUCGAAUGAGUUGCCAGCCUCCAUUGGAAAUCUUGCUUCUUUGAAAACUCUAGAAAUUAGUUCAUUCAAUUUCUCUGGUACACUUCAGGCUUCACUUGGUAAUCUUACCCAACUUGAUUCAUUGACAAUUUCAGAUAGCAAUUUUUCUGGUCAAAUGUCUAGUUCAUUGUCUUGGCUCACUAAUCUUAAUCAACUCACUUCUUUGAACUUUCCCUACUGCAACUUAAAUAGUGAGAUCCCGUUUGGGAUCUCCAACCUAACAAAACUUACUGUUUUAGAUUUGAGUAACAACCAAUUAACUGGUCCAAUCCCAUUUGGGAUCUCUAACCUAACACAACUUACUGCUUUAGAUUUGAGUUACAACCAAUUAACUGGUCCAAUCCCAUAUUCGUUGAUGAAGCUUAAAAAAGUGUCCAGUCUUUUCUUGGGAUCUAAUCAACUGAGUGGUCGUAUUCCAGUUGAAAUUAGUAACCUAACUCAACUGCAGGAUCUGGAUUUAUCAUCGAAUCAAUUGGAAGGCUCUGUUCCAAGCUCUAUCUUUGAGCUUAGGAAUCUUGAAGCGCUUGACCUUUCCUUCAACAAUCUCAGUGGCACAGUAGAUCUAAACAUGUUCCUUCUUAGCUUUAAACGUUUAAAAGCAUUAGUUCUCUCGUCAAAUAAAAUGUCACUGCUCACUAGAACCACUUCUAGUACCAAUAUGCAGAAAUUUAAGAUAAUAGGAUUAAGAUCAUUCAACCUUAGCGAGUUCCCAUCUUUUUUGCACAACCAAGACCAAUUGAAAUCACUGGAUCUUUCCUCUAACAAAAUAGCUGGAAAAAUACCUGAAUGGUUGUUCAGUGCAGGUACAAAUAGUUUGGAAUAUUUGAACCUUUCUUACAAUCUAUUGAUGGACUUCGAGCACAAUCUCCGUGUUCUUCCAUUGAAUAAGCUUGGAGCCUUAGAUCUUAGGUUUAAUAAGCUGAAGGGACCACUCCCAAUUCCAAUAUCAGUGUUCACCUCAUCCUAUCUAGUUUCAAACAAUCAGCUGACAGGGGAAAUUCCACCAUCAAUUUGCAGUUUGAAUGGUCUUUAUGCACUUGAUCUGUCUUACAAUAACCUAAGUGGCAUGCUUCCAGGAUGUUUUGGAAAUUCCAGUAUUCAGCUUUCGGUAUUAAAACUGCAAGGUAACAAGUUCCAUGGAUUCAUUCCUGAAACCUUCAGCAAAGGAACAAAUCUGAGGAUAAUUGAUUUCAGCAGCAAUUUACUGCAAGGGAGAGUACCCAAAUCGCUAGCCAAUUGCAUAAAGCUCAAAUUUCUUGAUCUUGGGGAUAAUCAAAUCACGGACUUCUUUCCUUCUUGGUUAGGAACUCUUCCAGAGUUAGAGGUGCUCAUCUUGAAAUACAACAACUUUCAUGGAGUAAUAGAGGAGCCUAAAGCAUGUUUUGAGUUCGUCAAGUUGCGCAUCAUUGAUCUCUCGCAUAACAGAUUUGCAGGUAAUCUUCCUUCAAAGCACUUCGAGUGUUGGAAUGCCAUGAAAGAUGUCAAUGCACAUAACCUAACAUAUUUGCAAGAUAGUCUGCUGGGAGCCGGCCGUUAUCCUGCGUUUACUUAUUAUGGGUUUUCUGAUUACUCACUAACAUUGAGUAACAAAGGCACAGAGUUGGAAUAUGAGAAGCUCUCAAAUCUAAUCACAGCAAUUAUUCUCUCCAACAACAGUUUUGUAGGAGAGAUUCCGACAUCAAUUACCAAUUUAAAGGGGCUUCGGACUCUCAACCUUUCCAACAACAAUCUCCAAGGUCAUAUUCCACCAACUUUGGGUAACUUAAUUGUGCUCGAGUCAUUGGACCUCUCCCAUAACAAUCUCUCUGGACAAAUUCCUCAACAACUUGGAGAGCUAGCGACACUUGAAGUCUUUGAUGUAUCAGAUAACCUGCUCAUUGGGCCAAUACCACGAGGGAAACAAUUCGACACAUUUGAGAAGGGUUCAUUUGAUGGAAAUCCAGGAUUGUGUGGACAACCUUUGUCAAAAAAAUGUGACAACUCUACGACUUCACCACCAGAAGAAGACCCACGCUCAGAAUCUUUAUUUGCAUUUGGCUGGAAGACAGUUCUGAUCGGAUAUGCAUGUGGGACAGUAUUAGGAGUGGUACUUGGGCACAUCUUCAGCACAAAAAAGUAUGAAUGGCUUGCCAAGACCUUUCGACUGCAACCGAAAUCUAAUGGGAGGAGGAGGACAGUCGGGAGACACAGACAACUGAUGUAAUUAACCGUUUUUCUUUUUCUUUUACGAAGGGGCUGCUUUGUUGUGCUUUAAAUUUCUUUUUCCUUCUUUUUUUAAUAAACCUUUUAUUAUUGUACAUCUACUAUGUUCUUAAUGCAAGUGGGCUAAUAAUUUGGUGGUUCUUGGCCACUUUACCUUCAGCAUAGUGCACGGGCAAAUAUGAAUUGAUCGUCUGCUUCUUCUUUUUUAUUUUUAAUUCAGUACCUUGCUAUUAUCCUGAUUUGAUUGAAUGAUCAUGUCUUUAAUUAAAGAUCAGUGCAUCAUUCUCUUUUUCCAAACUUGAAAGGAUAUUAUUUCGAAAAAAAUCAUGUAACUGAUGAUCAGGUCUUACUGAUUUUGGCAUCGGCACAAAGGUCGGGGAAUUUUUUGUGUUUUACUUUUCAUAAUUUCCGUUAUAUAUAUUCUCUAGUUUUAUGUGGCAAUAACACCGAAAUCAGUUAAAGAAUCGCUUAAAAUUACGAAUUAAUUUCUCAAAGAGUUCUCUAUCAAUGCAGAGAGAAUUAAGUUUUUGAAGCAUCAAAAACUUAAUUCGAGUGCCUGCUGUAAAAUAAAAUCAUUAGUCAUCAAAUAUGUGCCAAUAAGAUAAUUGGUAAACAUUAAUUAUCAUCAAAAGUCAAUCACAAAGUUAGAAGUGGCGCAAAAGUAAUUUGGAAUAGAAAUAUCUUUACAAAGUUGUUGAAACGUAAAAAUAUAGUAAACAUGAGUGUUGCUUAUUUUAGUCUCUAUUUGAUAAAAUUUCUCAAGUAGAAAUUAUUUAAUUAGAGCUUUUACAUUACCAAAAGAAAAAAGUACUUACCAAAAAUAUUUGAGUUGUUUGGUUGUCAAAGAGAGAUGUUAUAAAAAAAAUAUACAAUUACUUUAAUAGAUAAGUUUUUUAAAAUUAUGUUAUGAAAGGAUGAAAUAAGAUUAUUAAAUAAAUUAAGGAUACUUUAUAUAGUUUAACUCUUUAAAAAAAAUAAUUUACAACCUCUACUUCCAAAAUCAUAAAUUUUAAACUUUUAUUAAUGGAGGAAAAAUAGAUUAUCUCCAAAAUCUCUACUCAAAAUAUAACUAACCAAUACUAAAUUAAAAAAAAAAGAAUUAAAUGAAUACUUUUGACUAUUGGAUAAGUCAAAUGAAACGACAUGAAAUUGAAGACUACUUGCUGUACCUUUGUCUGUCACACUUGACACUCCCAACGGCAGAGAUGAUAAAACUUCCUUAAUUUUCACAAAAAUAUUUACCGCUUUUUCAGAGCAGCGCCAGCUUUCAAAGCUUUGGCAAAUGGGUGAAGUUUUAAGAUCAAUGUUUGACUCUCCAUUACCAAAAGCACAUUUUAUCAAUGCAUGCAAUAGUUGUGCAUCCAGUUGUCUUUGUAAUUCUUAAUAUUUUCUAAGAAAUUUAGCAGCCUUAAUUUAAACUAAAACUGUCGUGAUUUCGGAUAAUUUCUGGUUAACAUUAUGGACGAGUGGAAGUACCACAAUAAGAGUGUGUGAUCAACUUCAUAAUUUGUCUCCAGCUCUUACUUAUUACUUAACUAGGAAAUAGAACCGCACUUCGUGCGGCUUUAAAAAAAAAUUAGUAUUAUUUUUUAUUACUUUGUAAUUGAUGAAAUUGAUAAAAAAAUAUGAAUUAUUUUUUUUAAAGAUGACGCAGUCUUAUAAAACUAAUGUUAUUUAUGAAAGUUAAUUAUUUUUUGUUAACAUUAAAAAUAUAUAUUAAUGUGUAUAGUUAAGUGUACACAACAUUUUCAUCAAUAAAAAUUAUAUUCACACUAAUCAACUCUCCAUUUUUCUUGAUAUUAACAGACUCUCACAUCUUACAAAGUCUAACCUUUAUCAUCCAACUAUCUUUAUCAUUGUUUAACUCAUAAAGAAAAUAGUACUCCAUGAAGCAUACAAUACUAAAAAUUUAAAUAAGUCAAAAAAUAAAAACACAAGAACAUUUCUAAAGAGGAUGUUGGUUAAAUAAUAAAAAAAAUUCAAACAUAACAAAUCUUAAAUGCUUAAUAUUUAUAGAGCUUGAAGAAGCCAAAAGAUACUAAAUAAAAGGUUGCAUAAUUAAAUAUGGGAUUAUGACAUUAAAAUUAGGUCAUAGGGUAUUGGUGAGGGAAGAUGAAGGAAUAUUCCUUCCUAUAUUAAUUAAUUGAUGUAUUUUAAGCCACUAAAAUUUAAUUGUUGGCAUAAUAAAAUAAAUGAAUGUUUCAAGACUUAUAAUUAAUUAUUAUUAAUGGUUACAUAUUGUUGAAUUUAAAUAGAAAGAGGAAAAGACGUGUAAUCAUUUAUAAUCUAAUAAUUAUUUUUCUAUUUUAAUAUUUUGUAAUGUAAUUAUUUUUUAAUUUCAACCAAUUUAUUAAAUAAUAGACAAUAUGAAAUGAUGAGAAAUGGUGAUGCCACAUCACCUCUUGUAGUCUCAACUUUAUAUAUAUGUAUAGAUAGAUAGAUAGAUUAAUUCAUGUAUUUUAUGCCACUAAAGUUUAAUUGCUAACAUAAUAAAAUAAAUAAAUGUUUCAAAAGACUUAUAAUUAAUUAUUAUUAAUGAUUACAUAUUGUUGAAUUUAAAUAGAAAGAAAAAAAAGUGCAAAGAAUAUCCACCAAUAUUUUAGAUAUUUUAUAUAAUAGAAAAUAUAAAAAGAUGAGGAAUGAUAUAUAUUAAUAAAGGUACUAUUUAUUAAAUGAGUUAAAUACAAUCAAAUUAAUUAUGAGAAGAUGAAAAGGCAAAUCUAAAAAAAAAAAUCUCUAUUUAUUAGAUAAUAGAGAAUAUACAAAGAAGCAAAAUGGUGAUGCCACAUCACCUCCUCAAGUCCUAGCUUUAUAUAUAUAUAUAGAUAUAGAUAGAUUCUGACGCACGCCAUUGACAAUUAAAAUUAAAGAAUCCAAGUGGUUACGGGUCAUGGAUAAUCAUAAUUCAGUGUAGACAAAAAGCAUGGUUAAUAGCCGGCAAGGGAGAAAGGCUGGAUUGGUUUUCUUUUUCUUUUUUCUUUUUUUUUUAAAAUGUAAUCUUUCAAUUUUAUCCUCCAUAAUAAUAUAUCUAUAUAAUUUUUCGGAAAUUAUCUUUACACCACUUUUGUUUUGUCAUAUGUAUAUCCAAUCACCUCAAAAUUUUGACAUGUUCUUCACAUCACCUUUAUUUUUAAGUUUUUAUCAAUAAAUUACUUUGACACUAUAAAAUGAUCAUUUACCCUUAAAUGAAUUAAACAAUUAUUUUAUUAUACAAAAUUUUAAAAAAUAAAAAAUUAUAAUUACAAGAAUACCCCUGAAUUUAAUAAAAUAAAUAAAUCUCAAAUCCAAUAUGUUAAUUUUUUUAUAACUACAAUUUCAUUUAAAAAUUAUCAUGUUAAUUUUUUGUAAUUAUAAUUUCAUUCAAUUUCUAUAGAGAAGUUUCUUAAUAUUAAUUAUAGGGAAGUUUACAAUAAUUAUAGGGAGUUUUUCUCUCCAUGUUAAUUUUGAUAAACUUCCCUAUACAUAAUUUAAUUAUAAAAAUUAAAUGAAAUUAUAAUUACAAAAAAUUGUGAUUGCAAGGUGUUAAUUUUUUAUAAUUAUAAUUUCAUUUAAAAAUUAUCAUCUAAGAUUUUGAGAUUUAUUUGUUUUAUUGAAUUUAGAGGUAUUGUUAUAGAUAUAUUUUUUAUUUUUUAAAAUUUUCUAGAAUAAAAUAAUCUUUUAAUUCAUUUAGAAGUAAAAUGAUUAUUUUUAGUGUAAAAAUAAUCAAUUGAUACAAGUUUAGAAAUAAAGGUAGUAAAAAGAACAUUUUAAAAUUUUGUGGUGGUUAAAUGUACAUACAAUAAAAUAAAAGUAGUGUAGAAAUAAUUUCCGUAACUUUUUUUUCUUAAUUUAUAUGAUGUUCUGGACCAAGCGCUUGUUUUCAUGUGUUUGUACAAAUUGAUUUUGCCAAAUUCACAGAAUUAUACUAACAAAUUGAUUUAUUUUGAGCCCAUGACAGUGGCUCUCUAUUCCAACUUCCGCAUCCACAAAACAACGUUUUUUUUUUUUCCAAUUCACUAGAUACAACUCAUAGAAAGAACCUAAAAUUACUCAAAAGAACGCCAUGUGGUUGAUAGAUGCCCAGCACAAUCCCAUAUUUAAUUAUUUUAGGCAACCUUCGUACGUAUAAUAAUUUUGUUCCAACCAAGUUUGGGGGUGAAUUCUCAAAAGCCAUUUGGGCUGAUGCUAGCUCCUCUUGAUAGUAUAGACAAAAGCAUGGUCAGUAAGAAAUUAUGGGGUUAUUCUCAUUUUUCUUCACUUUAAUGCACAUACUUUUUCUGCUCUCAAUGUUUCAGCACACCCUUGCUGGCUUGCAGCUACUCUGCCAUGAUGACGAGCGUUCUGCCUUGCUGCAAUUCAGGCAAAGCCUUACCGUCGUUCAGUGUUCUUUUGAUGAUUAUUCUUCAGCUUAUCCCAAGGUUGCAUCAUGGAGCCAGGAAGAAGAAAAUAGCGACUGCUGCUUAUGGGACGGCAUCAAAUGCGACGAAGACACUGGUCAUGUGAUCAGGCUUGAUCUCACAAGCAGUUGCCUCCAUGGUUCUAUCAACUCUAGCAGCAGCCUCUUUCAACUUGUCCAUCUGGAAUGGCUUGUUCUCUCGAAUAACCACUUCAAUUUUUCUGAAAUCCCUUCAGAAAUCAAGAAUCUGUCUAGACUAACAGCUCUAUCUCUCUCUAAUUCUUCGUUUUAUGGUCAAAUACCAGCAGAGUUGCUGGAGCUCUCCAAGUUGGAGAGUCUUGAUCUAUCAUUUAAUAAUUUUCAUUUGAAGCUCCAAAACCCGAGUCUAGCAAAUCUAGCUGACAAAUUAGCCAACCUGAAAGUACUUCACCUUGGACAAGUCAAUAUUGCUUCUACAGUUCCUCAUGCAUUGGCAAAUUUAUCAUCUUUGUUUUUCUUAUCUCUCACUGAUUGCCUAUUGCAAGGUGAAUUCCCUGCAGAGAUUUUCCAGUUACCCAAACUUGCAUUUCUCACUCUGACGUAUAAUCACUAUCUCACCGGGUAUUUGCCAGAAUUUCAGAAUAGCAGUGUCCUCAUAGAUUUGAGGCUUUCACAUACGAGAUUUUCAGGUAAGAUUCCAGAUUCAAUAGAAAAUCUUGAAUCCUUAGAUUCCUUGGGUAUUAGAGGUUGCUCAUUUUCAGGAAAACUUCCUCCUUCAGUUGGUAAUCUUACUAAGCUCAACCAUCUAUACCUUUCUGGUAAUGAUUUUUCGUGUGAGUUACCUGCUUCCUUGGGAAAACUUUCUUCUUUGAAAACGCUGGAGAUCAUUUUACGCAACUUCUCUGGCAAAGUUCUGGAUUCACUUGGUAACCUUACACAGCUGAAUUCUUUAACAAUUUCUGUGACAAAUUUUUCUGAACAAAACUCUUAUUCGUUGUCUUGGAUCCUUAAACUUAACCAACUCACUUAUUUGGACCUUUCAGGGAGCAAAAUAACUGGUGAGAUGUUAUGUCUGCUCUCGAAUCUAACAGAACUUACUCAAAUAAGUUUGGCUCAUAACCAAUUAACUGGUCCAAUCCCCUUUUGCUUUAUGAACCUGAACAAAUUAUCAAUUCUGUACUUACAUAAUAAUCAACUGACUGGCCAUAUUCCAGUUGAAAUUAGAAAGCUAACCCAAUUGCAGAUUCUGCGUUUGGCAGAGAAUCAAUUGGAAGCCUCUGUUCCUAACUCUAUCUUUGAGCUAAGGAAUCUUCAAGCGCUUGACCUUUCCUACAACAAUUUGAGUGGCACAGUGGAUCUAAACAUGCUCCUUCUUAACUUGAAAUCUUUAACCUCAUUAGUUCUCUCGUGAAACAAGUUUUCAUUGCUUACUGGAACCAAUGUCAGUACUAAUUUGCCAAAUUUCACUGUAAUAGGAUUCAGGUCAUGCAGCAUUAGCGAGUUCCCGUAUUUUUUGCACAACCAAGAUCAAUUAGUUUCUCUGAAUCUUUCCUCCAACAAGAUAGUUGGCCAAGUACCCCAAUGGUUGUUAAAUGUAAGCACAAAGAGUUUGGAAUAUUUGAACUUUUCUGACAACCUAUUGUCGGGAUUCGGGCAGGAUCUCUUUGUUCUUCCAUGGUCUAAAAUGAAUACUUUAGACCUCGGGUUUAAUAAGCUCCAAGGACCGCUCCCAGUUCCGUCAUCAGUGUCAAUUUAUUCCUAUCUAGUUUCAAACUAUCAGUUGACAGGGGAAAUUCCAAUCCAAAUAUGCAGUUUGAAUGGUCUUCACGCUCUUGAUUUGUCUUACAACAACUUAAGUGGCAUGCUCCCAGAAUGUUUGGGUAAUUUCAGUGUUGAGUUGUCAGCACUAAAACUGCAAGCUAACAACUUUUAUGGAAUCAUCCCUCAAACCUUCAUGAACGGAACAAAUCUGAUGAUGAUUGAUUUUAGCGACAAUUCAUUGCAAGGAAGAGUACCUAAAUCUCCAGCCAAUUGUGUGAAGCUAAAAUUUCUUAAUCUUGGGGAUAACCAAAUCACCGAUGUCUUCCCUUCUUGGUUGGGAACUCUUCCAGAGCUAGAGGUUCUCAUUUUGAAAUUCAACAACUUUCAUGGAGAAAUAGAGGAACCUCAAACAGGUUUUCAGUUUCCCAAGCUGCGCAUCAUCGAUCUCUCUCACAACAGGUUUACAGGUAAUCUUCCGUCAAAGCACUUCCACUGUUGGAAUGCCAUGAAAGAUAUCAAAGCAAGUAAAGCUAACAUAUUUGCAGGUUGAACUCAUGCCGUAUGAUGCACUUGGGUUUACCUACUAUGGUUAUGCUGAUUACUCACUAAUAAUGAGUAACAAAGGCAUAGAGAUAGAAUAUCCCAAGCUUUCAAAUUUGAUCACAGCAAUUAUUCUCUCCGACAACAAUUUUGUUGGAGAGAUUCCAGCAUCAAUCGCCAGUUUAAAGGGGCUUCGGACUCUUAACCUUUCCAACAACAAUCUCCGAGGGUACAUUCCAUUAACUUUGAUUAACCUAACGGUCAUGGAGUCAUUAGACCUCUCUAGUAACAAGCUCACAGGACAAAUUCCUCAGCAACUAGCAGAGCUCACAUCCCUUGCAUUCUUUGAUGUGUCACACAACCAUCUUAGGGGAGCAAUACCACAAGGGACGCAGUUCAGCACAUUCACAAAUGAUUGGUUUGCUGGAAAUCCAGGAUUGUGUGGAGAACCUUUGUCUAGAAAAUGCGGAAACUCUGAGGCCUCACCAGCAGAAGAUGAUCCACCCUCAGAAUCUGUACUCGCAUUUGGCUGGAAGAUAGUUUUGGCAGGGUAUGCAAGUGGGACAAUAAUAGGAGUAGUACUUGGGCACAUCUUCUGCACAAGAAAGUAUGAAUGGCUUAUAAAGACUUUUCGACUGCACCCGGAAAGUAGUGGAAGGAGGAGGAGACAUAGGCACAGAAUGUAAUUAAUUAGAUUUUAUUUAUUUAUUUAUUUAUUUUAUGAAUUACUCUGUAAAGACUUUAAAAAUCAUGUAGAAAUUUUUUUUUUCUUCCAAUUUCAAUAAAUCUCUUUAUAUUACCGUACUAUUAUUAUGAUUUCACACUUAGAGCCCAUUUGAAAUUAUUUUUGAGAGAUUUAAAGGUGAUUUUAAAAAAUUAAAAGUUAAUUUUGGCGUUUGAUAAAUUUGUUUAAAAAUCAUUUUCAACAAAAUCACCUUAUCCUGUGACAGAGAGUAGCUUUUCAAAAUCUGAUUUUAGAAAUCAGUUUUAUACUUAAACAAUUUCAUAUGUAUCCUAAUAUAUGUUAUAAAAAUUUAAAAUUAUCCUUUAUUCAAUUAGGAAAUAAAAUCAUUACAUUUAAAGAAAUUAUUAUCAUUUUGAAUUAUAUUGAGAUAACAAAAUAAAUACGGUUAAUUUGUUUUAGCUACGAAUUAUUCUAUAUGCACAUAAAAUAUUACUAUAUACACAUGUUAUUAUAAAAUAAAUGCACGGAUAAAUAAAUUUUAUAACUUUAUGUCUAAUUAAAUCAUUUGUAUUCAUACAGCAAUUUACCAAAUAUAAUUUACUACUUAACUAUUAUUAUUAAAUUUUAUUAACUUUAUUAUUUUAGUUACUAGUAAUUAUUGUUAUUAUUACUGUUAUUAAUAUUAUCAUUAUUAACAUUUAUUAUUAUUAAUAUUAAUAUUAUAUUUUAUUAACUUUAUUAUUUUAGUUAUUAUUAAUUACUAUUAAUAUUAUCAUUAUUAACAUUUAUUAUUAUUAUUAAAUUUUAUUAACUUUAUUAUUUUAGUUACUAUUAGUUAUUGUUAUUUUUAUUUUUAUUAAUAUUAUCAUUAUUAACAUUUAUUAUUAUUAUUAUUUUAAUUAAUAUCAUUUUUAUAAUAAUAUUUACACAUGUAUCUAGAUAAUGAAAAUUACAUUAUUAUUAUUGUUUUUAAAUUUUAUUAACUUUAUUAUUUUAGUUAUUAUUAUUAUUUUUAUUAAUAUUAUCAUUAUUAACAAUAAAAAUAAUGAUAAAAAUAAUAAUUUAUCAUUAUUAACAAUAUUAUCAUUAUUGUUGUUGUUAUUAUAUAAAAGUGACGUUGAGAUAUUGAAGGAAAUUAAAUGUAGUAAUAUUUAAUUUUUGCUCCCAGAAUUGUAGCAGUGGCUUCUCUUUUUCUUUUUCUUUUUUUUUUUUUUCUUCUUGGCUCCAAUUCCCUCCGGCUGCCCUAUUCACUUUUCUUUUUAUAUUGUAGCGCCCUAAAUCCUCACAUGGAAAGGAAAGAAAAAUAAAAGCCCGGCCGCCACUUUAGUUCAUGCAUGCUUAACUUGAACAAUUAAUUGGCCAAUUUGCAAAGCCAAAGCCCAUCAGGUGAAUCAUUCAAAUUGCCAAUUAAUUCUUUAAUGCUCCCCCACGUGCUUGCCAUAUUUGUCAACCAAAUAUUCAAAGCUUCUUGCACGUGUUGCAUGCAUGAUGAUUAAAUUCAAUCAUCCUUGAUUUAGCUUUUUAUUUCUUUUCCUUUUUUUUUUCCACAUUAUUUCUAUUAUACUCCAAUUUAUUUCUUUUUUUCAUUUUUUUCACUUAAAUAUUUCCAAUAUUCCUAUAAUGACAAAAAAUAUAUAAAAAAUAAGAUAAAAUUAAUAUAAUAAAAUAUAAUUUAACAUAAAAUUAAGUUAUAAAAAUAUUAAAAUAAUAAAUAAAUUAUGAGCACAUCAAAAGGCAAGACUAACAAUGAGAGAAGGGAACACGUGCUUCACGAAUGGCAAGUGAAUGGAUAUGAAAAACAUAUAUCGAAUUAUGUUUUUUUCCAAUUCGAAAAACACGUGGUCUGCGGCUCGUUUGGGUGGAAGAGAGUUGUGAUUGAAAAACACGUGGUCUGCGGCUCCCACGAGGGAAACAAUUCAACACAUUUGAGACUUUGUCGUUCGAUGGAAAUCCAGGAUUGUGCGGAGAACCUUUGCCAAAAAAAUGUGAAAGGCCUGAGGCUCCACCAGAUAAAGACUCACAUUCAGAAUCCGUUGUAUUCGCAUUUAGGUGGAAGACAGUUGUGAUUGGAUAUGCAAGUGGGCCAAAAGUCGGAAUGGUUCUUGGCCACAUCUUCAGCGGAAGAAAGUAUGAAUGGCUCAAAAAGACUUUUCGACCGCAACAGAAAACUAAUGGGAGGAAGAGCAGAUGCAGGCAAUGAAUGUGAUUAGAGUUUUUUCUUUUUCUUUUUCUUUUUUUUUUCCAAAAGAGUUAAGUUACUUGGUGUAGAAUCCAGACUCGAUCAUGUGCUUCAAUACAUCUCUUACUACGCUAUCCUAUUAUUUUUAUGAGUUUUUAAAUUUUGUCUAAUUAAGAUCUUCUCUUUGUAAUUGUAAUUUCACAUCUGAAAGGUGGUGGAAUAGGUGCAUAAUUGUUGUGACUGAGAGAGUGCACCUUUGGAGGAUCUGCCACUGGUUCAAAGAUAUUAGAUGUUGAAUUUUAGUUAUUUAGUUAUCAAUUGUUCCAAUAAUUAUGUGCAAUUUGAAGAGAAAUUUUUUUCGCUGAGAGUAUUUGUUAGUGCAAGGAAUCAUUAAAAAAAGGCGUUUGACUUAAAUUUAUCGAAAAACAGUUUUUUUAAUAAAAUCUAAUUGUUAAUUCAAAAUUAAGAUUAAAUAAAUUACUAAAUAAAAAGUUUUUUUUUUUAAAGUUCUUUUAGCUAACUAGUAUCCAAAUUAAAUUCUAACACGUAUAUAUAUACACACUCAAAACAUUUUUAAAGCAUGUGAUUCUAAUACAGACUUAUUUUUACAUUCAAUGCAUUUUAAACCACGUGAACCUUGCAAAAAAUUUAUAUGUAUUCAAUUUUGUUGUAAACCAAGUGAGCAUUCAAAAAAUUUUCAGAAAUAUAUGUAUUGAUAGUUUUCUUUAUACUUUUGUGUGAAUCAUUUGAUACUCGAUAUAAAUACACAAUUAGCGGACUUUAUAUUAUCUUUAUUUGUUUAUCAAUUAUUAUCUUUAAAACGUAGUUCAGAGAAAUCAACAUUAACCAAAUAAAUUUACAAUUGUAUUAAGAUAUUACGUAGCAAAAAAUUAUACUGGACGGUAAUUUAAGCUAAACAAAUAUCCUUACUUUUAGAUGCUAUAUAUAUUAGACGUAUUUAUGAUUUUUUAAAUUAAAAAUAGUUUUCAGGUAUUAUAUAUCAAACGUACAUUGAAAUACUAGAAAUACCAAAAAUACAAUUCAAUUUUAAAAUAUAUUUCAAUUUUUAGGAACCGUUUUCAAAUCCUGACUAAUUUUAAAAACGAAUUACUUGUUACACAGGUCUUCUGCCUGUUUGUCCCAUAAACAUUUUGUUAUUUUCACAAUUAACCAUCUCAACUUUUUUCUAUCAACAUUAGCCAAACAUAACCUUUUCUCCCCAAAUUACCCUUCGUUACAGACCAAAAGCAACAUUCUUUCUCCCAUAUCGUCAAACCAAACGCAGCUUUCCACUCUUGAAUCAUCAACCAACGGCGACGGCAAAAGACAAAGGUAAAAGUGAAAUCUGAUCAUAAUCUAUCCGGAUCCAACACUAAUCGGCAUCACUUAGUGGUAUGAGUUAUUUUCUGAACUUGCUGAACUGAGUCGUGAGUGAAUCUGAGUCGUGGGUGAAUCUGGCGACAGGCAGCCUGUCGCCACAAGCUUCGGGCGACAGGUUGCCUGUCGCACCAAGCCUUGGAGAUUCAUUAAAACUGUAUUAAUUUGAUAGGCUCAAAUAUUUUUUUUUUUAUAAUUUCAGGCUUAAUGGAUUCAGUGGUACUUGAAUUGUGUUACGAUGGUUGGUGGGAGACAUUAAAGGAUGGCCGUAUGGAGUAUGUGAAUGGUGAAAAUCGAGCUUUUAUGGUUGGGAAAAAUUGUCUGUUUGAUCAGUUAUUGGCAAGAGUAUACGAGGUGUUAUAAAUAAACCCUAAUGAAUAUAGUAUCACAAUGAAAACAACUUUAAGGUCUAAUAACACAUUAUAUCAUAUAUGGGCACUGCCCAUGGAUAUAUUUGAUGAUGAAAUGGUGAGGGUUGUGUUGCAUAUGGCAUCCGACGUAGCCAAUUUUGGAUGCAUUCCUAUAAUCGUGACCACAUCACCUCGAGUUCCGAGUGAAUGUAUUGAGCCGCAUGUCGAUACAGAAACUUCGUUUAGAGCAAAUAUAUCUGGCCUCGAUAAUGAUGAAGAGGUGUUGCCAAGGACAAUAUCGCUGCAGCAAUAUUACUCUCCAAUCCACGACAAUUAUGACAACAUUGAUGAUAACGGCGUUACGUUACAGGAUGUUGGAGAAACGAUAUUUCCAAUAACAACGUCGUUGGAGCAACGGUAUUCUCCGUAUCACAACAAUGAUUUUCGGGACAAUAAUGAUUUUUAUGAUGAGACAGAGGGGGAUAAUGUUUGUGCAGAACCUUCUAAUAAUACGAGGGGCACUCAUUUCAAUAAUGAUGGUGAUGAUGGAGGAGCCGGUCCUUCGAAUGUUCCGUCGUUUCAGCAUGAGGAUGAGUGUGAAGACAAUACUCCUGUGAAUAACAAAGGCAAUAGACCUAUUCCUUUUAUGGUUCGAUUGAGAAGGAGAAUUGACCCUCUUACAAGUCUUGCUCCAACUUUGCCUUUGAACAUGGUUGCUCCAAGCUUUAUUAACAGUUGUGACUCAGAUGAUAUCAGUGUGGGUAAGCUAUUUGCUCAGAAGAAUGAGUUUAUAUUACAACUACGCAAGGUGGCCUUUAGAGAUAAGUUUGAUUUCAAGAUUGCACGGUCUACUACGACACGUUUCGAGGCUCACUAUUAUUCAGAAUAAUGUAAAUGGCGUAUUCAAGCAACUAGAUGUUCAAACGAGCAAAAUAUUCCUUGGGUGGUGAAGAGAAUUGACAAUGUACACACUUGUCAUAAUGAGGUAUUGGUUGAUGGACGUCAUCAAGUAAGGAGCCGGGUUGUCGGUCAUAUUAUCGCAGAAAAAUAUAUUUAAGAUAAGAGGAUUUAUACUCUGAAUGACAUAAGAGCAGAUAUGCAACAGAAAUACGGUGUUUAGUUAACAUACCAGCAGGCAUAUCGGGCGAGAGAAGUUGGUCUUGAAAUAGUUUGAGGCAACCCUGCAGAGUCAUACAACUUGCUCCCUAAAUAUCCUCACGUACUAACUACAGCGAAUGAGGGUACAGUCACUCACCUCGAACAUGAUGGAGAUGGUAAUUUCUUGUACUAUUUUGUAGCACUCGGAUCUUCCAUCAAGGGUUUUAUGCAGUACAUUCGGCCUGUCAUUGCUGUAGAUGGUACUCAUCUGAAGGGAGUCUAUCGUGGAAGCAUGUUCGUGGCAACAUGUCUUGAUAGUAACAAUCAAUUGUAUCCGUUAGCCAUUGGGAUCAUGGAUUCAGAAAACAAUGAUGCUUGGGAAUGGUUUAUGAUGAAGUUACACGGAGUGAUUGGCGAUAGACCUGAGUUGGUAAUUAUCUCUAAUCGAUGCACUGCCAUUAGGAGAGCCGUUCUUAAAGUAUUUCACAAUGCAGCUCAUGGCGUUUGUUUUUACCACGUCAAAAGUAACAUUAAGUCACAGUUUAGAAUGUCCAAAGCUCUUUGGGAUGAAUUUGAGCAUGCCUUUAUUAAUACAGCAAAAGCAUAUGGCCACGAGGAAUUUAAGAGACAACUUGAGGGGUUGUGGAUGAUCCACUCGGGUGCAGCUGAUUACCUAGAAAAUAAUGUCGGUACGCGUAAUUGGGCAAGCUCUCAGUUUGAAGGUAGGAGGUACAAUAUACUUACCACCAACAUCGCGGAGAGUAUUAAUUCUUUCAUGAGGGAACCUCGAAAAUUUCUUGUUACUCAUCUUGUUGAUCACUUUAGGAAAACAUUGCAGCAAUGGUUUUAUGAUAGAAAAAUUGUGGCUGAAUCAAUGACUACUCGGCUAACAACAUGGGUGGAUGAAAUAGUCACUGAGAGGAGAACUAUAACUGAAAGAAUGAUAGUUCGGCCGGUAUCUCCACAUCGAUUUCAAGUUAUAGGCGGUGGGCUUAAGGAAGGUUUGGUUGACUUGCAAAAGAGAACUUGCUCAUGUAGAGUGUUUCAGCUUGAUCAGCUUGUGUGUGCUCAUGCAAUUGCGGCGUGUCUAACACACCGGGUGGAUUUUAUUAACCUUUGCUUGGACUUUUACACUACAGAAUUGUUGGCGAUGACUUAUGCACAACCAGUGGAGCCAGUUGGUGAUGUGGCUGAUUGAGAAGUUCCAGAUAAAAUUCAGGAGAUGCAAGUAUACCCACCAGUUGAGGCACCACCACCUGGCCGUCGUAAAGAGCUCAGAAUACCCUCGGCUGGCGAGGACGUUAACCGGCGGACUGUAAGAUGUGGGCGGUGUCAAGAAUUGGGCCAUAAUUGUAAGCGAUGUAAAAAUCCCAUUGCGUCGACUUGAAGUUAGUUGUAUUUUGUGUGUUAUUCGCUGGUUAAAACCGUUAUUGUCUUUUGUGUUUCGUUGGUUAAAAUUGUUAUUGUUUUUUGUGUAUUGUACACUUAUAUGUCAUAAAACUUUAUUUUAUUUUAAAUAUUAAAAUGUGAGUAUUAAAAUUAUAUAAACUUAAGUGCGCAAAUUAAAAUAAAAAUUCAAGUUUCAACAUUCAAAUUAUUACAACGAUUUACAAUACAAUAUCGUCAUUAAAUAUGUCAACCGCAAUCUUCUUUCUAAAGUACUCGACAUGACUAGCGUUAAACUCCAAUCUAAGCCCGAACAUUAAAUACAUCGUAACCAUCAAUACAAAAACACCGCAAUCGCCAGUUCUGGGCUCUUGUUGUGGCACGCUCUUAACUGCGAUAACUUUCCAGGGGUCUGCACUCCGCAACUCAAGACAGAUGUUGUAGAAGCCAACAUAUUCCAACCAUCGAGGGAAUAUAACUUCAAGUGGCUUGAAUUUCAACUUGUACCUUUUGUCGUCGCGAAAUGUGAAUAAUGAGUCAUUAAUCCAGACUUUGUUUUUCUAAAAGUCAACUCGUGCUAGUACCAAUGCGCGCCGUCCAAGUUAACAAAGAUGAGUAACUGUAUAUAAAAAUUGAAAAACAUGUUUGUUAUAUAUGAAAUUGAAAUACAACCAAGAAAAAGCGACAACUCGAAUAUUUUCAUUAUGGAGUAUGUGAAAUGCAAUAAAAUACAUACCAUAUCGACAUCCGUCAUUGAUUUGGACAUUGUGUGCUGUCGCCCACAAAGAUAACUAUUCAAGCGGUCGUCGAAUACUAAUGAAUCGACCGCACAAUUCCCGUUGUUCCAUAACUGAUUCAAGAACACCUAGUGCAUAGAUAACCAAUAAAUGCAUAAAUUAACAAAAUUUAAAGGUAAUAAUUAAAAAAAAUUUAAAUAGUAUUUAUAAGUUUUGUCAGCACGUUACCCAAAAAAAUGUGUUAGUAUGUGUGACACGUUGCAGUAAGGCAUUCGGAUACUGCCGUUGUUUCUCGCUAAUCAAGCAGAGAUACUCGUGAAUAUGCUGUAGAGAAACAGAACAUUACGAUUUAAAAGAAAAAUUUUAUACACAAAUCCACAACACUUAAAAAACUUCGAAAAUAUAAAUACCUCAUUGCCUAGCUAUCCCAUCGAAGUUGUACCCAAAAUUAUUUGAAAGAAUGACCGCGGGUGCUGGACUCUCCAGCGGACUCUGAUAUCACCAGUGAACCAUCGAUCAAACUCAGCAAACAGACUAGACCCCUCCAAUCCUCUCAGUGGAUUGACAUCCACACUCGUACUCAUGUUAAUCGCAUGCUCCAUGAUUUGGGGUCGAGGUAAAGGCCGGACGUUCUGUCCUCGCCUGACUGGAGGAAUCAUGUAUGGACUGUUAUAAACAUACAACGGUAUGUACGCGCGGCCGAACUUACUAACGCCCGGCGGCAUCUCAAUGAACACCUGCACGCUCUCUCCACUAACAUCCCCAUGGAAACUAUACAAUGACAUGGGCGUAGACAAAUUUUGAUUGUCCAUGUCAGUAUACACUCUAUAGUCAUCCGGGGCCUGUCCAUUCGCUAAGAAGAACAUAUUAAACAACUAUCAAAUUAAAAGUUAAAUGAACAUAAUUAUUAAAUUUAAAUUUGCUCACCGCAUACAAGUGUGCAGUGGGAGGAUCCUUAUUUGGACGUUUAGAAAAUGUGUCGAUGAAGCCAACAACAGUUUCUUUAAAAUCUUUUAAUUCUGACUUCAUUUCAUACACGUUACGAUCAAUCUUAUCCAGCCGUCGUCGUAUGUAAUCAUAAAACUGCUUUGUCCUCGACUAUUACAAAAGAAAAAAAUAAAACUUUAGAAUAACAGUAAAAAAAUAAUGAUUUAUAAAGGAAAAAUAUCGUAUAUUAUUUAUAACCUCAUAAUCACGUGCGUCAUCAGAGUUGUCUGUUUGCUCCUGGUGGUCAUCAACAGCCACCUCAUCCUCAGAAGUGUCAUGAUGCUGCUCUGGUAUUGGGUUUGGUAUGUCGUCAUGAUCGUCAUGCUCGUCUGAUUGCCUUGUAACCGACGGCAUCGCGUUGAUUUAGGGUUGGUGCUGUAUAAAGUAUCAUUUAAAAUUUGUAAAUGAAAAGUCAAAAUUUUUUGCUACUCUCCUUUGAAUUUGGCUCAAGAGUUUGUAAAAUGCCCCCUGCCAUAAAUUCAAUUGAAAAUUUUAAGUAAGUAUACAUAACUUAAAUUUAGUAAAGUUAAAAAAAAUAAGUAAUACACAUUACUUACAAGACGAGAUUCGUCGUUGAAGAAUGAAUAAACCUCCGCAAAAUUGAUUCUCGAAGACGCCAUGGGCUUCCAUUGCAGAAUGCGGGGAAUCUUCUUCUUCGUUUUGACGACCCAUGUUGAUGGCAACCCUCCGAUUGCUUCAUAAAUCCAAGCCUACAACAACCAAAGUGAAAAAUCAAAUAAAACAAUUAUCAAAUAUUUAAUACUAUAAAACUUAUCAAUAAAAAAAAAAGCACCUGAACCCCAGACGUAAAGCCGUAAAGAUUGUAUUUUUCAAUGUUAUAAUCUGAAUUUUUCAACCGAGUCCUCUUAAAUUUCUCGUCUUUCUCGAACAGUGCAUUGUCAAGACUCUCGUAAAUCAUUUCCCACGACAAUAGACCCCAUGGACGCUUUCGGAAGUACUCUAUAUCAUCAACUUGGUCAAGCCAACCGAAAUUGAUUUGACAGUGAUUUUUUCUUGCAUUUAGUACUUUGUCCGCAAAAUAAAACAGCGCAAUCUUUAAUGCGUCCAUAUCGUCCAUUUCCUCGAAUUUCAACUCCUUAAAUACUGCAUCGAAUUCGUUCACAUUAAUCUUACGAUGCACACCACCAAAAUACGUAUUCCGUAGCCUCUGCUCCAUUUCAUUAUUUUUUUGUUUAGUAUCAACACCAAAUGAAAGUCCAGUAACCAAGCACCAUUCGACAAUUGACAAGCGAAUCAAAUGCUCACCAAUUUGAAAGCAUAACUGAUCCUCACGACUAUCUUCUUCAUGGGCCACUUGCCUCAGUAAAAGAUUGUGUAAAAUUACCCCACUAAAUGGAAACUUCGACACUCCAAGAAAUGCUCAAAUAUAUCUUUUUUGAACAUACUCAACUGCCGCUUUGUUAAUUUUUCCUCGAUGGCUUUUACGACCGAAGAUAGCUUACACAUGCUUGAAAUUCGACCAGGAAAGUGAUCGGCAUAACGAAAAUACAUCUUGCCUACUUCGAUAUCCGGUGAUUCUGAUUUCGCCAUGUAUCUGUAAUAUUUAUAAAAUUAUUACAUUAAUAUUUAUAACAUUAUUACAUUGCAUUUACACAAAAAAAAUUUUGACUUAAAAAAAAUCACUGUCAAUCGCCUGUCGCACCAAUUUGGUGCGACAGCGGGGCGCGCACGCGCAGCCCCUCCCCUCCCCCCCCCCCCCCCCCCCCCCCCCCCGCCCCCAAAAUCCCCAAAUCAUUUCCCAAUUCAAUAUACUCCCAAAUCAAUAUACUCCCAAAACAAUAACAAUCACCACUAACACCACCACCACCAUUAUUCUCAAACUACAACCAUUAUUAAUCUAAAAUUUCAUUUUAAAUUAAUGAAAAUAAGUUAAAUGGCUAACUUAGGUUUCGUUGAAGGCUGUAGAUGGUAGAUCAGACGCCGAUGAAGGAUAGAGCCGCCGCCGAUGAGGGUUGAUGUUGCCGCCGAUGAUGGAGUUGGUUCCGUUUGGGAGAGAUGAGUGAAAGGGAGUGUUGGGGGAGAGAUGAGGGAGAGGGGUAUUUUGGUCUCAAAGGUUGAUUUAUGGCUAAUGUUGAUAGAAAUUUGUUUGGGGGGUUAAAAUGAAAAAAAUCAAAACUUUAAUGGUUAUUACUGCAAAGUUCCCAUUAUAUUUUCGGGACGGCCCCACGGUGGAACUUGACUUGCACUAGCAAGUCAUUAAGUCCACAAACGACUUUGACUUUGAGCGCUUGCUUCUCCGGAUACCACCACACCACAUACUCAUGCAUCGCAGCUACAAGAUAAAAUAAACUUCUCAGUUUCCACACAAAAUCAUUUGAAGGGAAGCACUGCCCCGAAAUAUGCUUUCCAUUGACUAAUACCAUUUUACUUUGUACCCUUGUAGGUCACCUACAUACGUUUACUGAAGAAUAUUUAAUAAUCAAAGCAAUAGUGAGAUUUGAUCCCUCGUUACUCUUACUAAACCUUGUUAAUUCUUAUUUUAAUUUAAAUAUCUAAAAUAACUUUAAUUUUUAAAUUUUACACUUUCUUUUCUCUCUCCUCUCUCUCAUUCUCCUCCACUUUCUUACCUCUUCAUUUUCAUUCAAUAUUAAAGAUUAAUAUACUUUCUUUCAUUUUCUAGUUUUAUUUUUAGGGUAUGGAUGAGAGCAAUAAUUUUGCAUCAUCAAACAGUCCUUUUCUACCCAAAUGAUAAUUAUAAGCAAAAGUGACAAGAGCAGAAACAUGAUUUAGAAUCUUGAUCAUAUCCUCAUUCUCUUGAUCUAAGCUCACAAGGAUAAGAUUUCUUAAUUUCCACAAACGACUUUGACUUGGAGCGCUUUUCCUGAUACCACAUACUCAUACAUCCUACUGGAUAAAACUUCUCAAUUUCCACAAAUCAAUUGACUAGGAGAAAUUAAAAAUCCCAUGAAUUAUUUUACAAAAACUGCAGGUUGCCUAUAUAAAGGCAACGCUGUUUUACUACCAUGCACACAUGCAAUAAAAGCAAAAUCACUUAAAGCCAUUUUAGAAUUCCUGUUGAGACGUAAUGGGGUUAUCUUUAACUUUCUUCACAUUUAGACAUUUAGUUUGUUUUUCCUUCUUAAUAUUUCAUCUUGCAAUUGCUCACUUCAUUUCUUCUACUCAGCCACUCUGCCAUCAUCAUGAGCGUUCUGCCUUGUUGAAUUUCAAGCAAAGCCUUGUCAUUAAUCAGACUGCUUCCUCUGAUCCUUCUGCUUACCCCAAGGUUGCAUCAUGGAAGCUGGAUGAAAAAGAUAGGGACUGUUGCUCAUGGGACGGUGUCAAAUGCAAUGAAGACACUGGCCAUGUUGUGGAGCUCGAUCUUGCUAGCAGUUGCCUAUAUGGUUCUAUCAACUCUACCAGCAGUCUCUUUCAGCUUGUCCAUCUGCAACGGCUUAAUCUCUUCGAUAACAACUUCAAUUUCUUUGAAAUCCCUUCUGUUUAGGGAAUGAAAUAGGGUGACCAAGAUAAAGGUGUUUGCUCAUACAUUAUCGUGCUCUCCUCAAAGUAAAAGUGAGCAAAUGGUUGAGCAGAUCAUCUCGACCAGAAUAAUAUGUGGUGACCUCGAGCACAUCACCUCGACCAGGAUGUUAUUGGUCACCUCGACCAGGAAGUCACCAGGAAGCACGUCAUCCGCGAGGCCAAUUUCCUGCAAGAAGCAUAAAGCCAUUCCUGCUGUAUUCUUGCUAAGGGUUGAUUCGAGGAGACCCGGUCAACGACAGUUGGCGAGGCAUGCUCUCCAGCCCGAGAAUCUAGGCACGAAGGCCACGCAACCACCCAUGACUACGGAAAUGGGGAAUCCACGUUCGAGAGGUGGGAGGAUAACGGACGUAGACUGCGGAAAACUGGGAUUCAGAGGAAGCCUAUAAAAAGGUAGCCAACGAAGGUAAAAGGGUUGGCAAUUUUGAGAUUAGAAGAGAGCUAAAGAAAUUCUAAAGAAGAGAAAACUACGAAAAAGCCAUAAGAUCUGUGGCAAGCGUUCCCCGAACCUUCAUAUCUGACUUGAGCGUCGGAGGGUUUGCGCCGGGAAAACAACCGGCGUACUCUGACUUGUCUGUGUGCGCAGGAACCUCUGGAGAAGAAGCCUUACGAGGAGACCUCCUGGUCGUGGUGAAGUUGAUCGAGCAGAGAGCCUGGUCGUAGAACGAGGAGAACCAGAAUCUCGCAUCAACAUUUUGGCGCCGUCUGUGGGGAACUGAUCAAAAAGCUUCUGUUGAUAGCAAGAAGGGGAGUAAAGCAAGUGAAAACCGAUGGAAACAGGGGAAGCAAUGCAGAUAACAUCCCUCGAUACCCGAGUGGAAAACAAGAAUGACAGACAAGAACCUGUAGAGGAUCUGGAAACUGUAAGCCUGGGACCAGAGAAUCCGGGAAAGACAAUCAGAAUCGGGUCGAGACUUAAGGGAGAGCAAAAGCAGGAGUUGGUGAAAUGCUUACAGGCUCAUGCAGAUGUGUUUGCUUGGACACAUGAAGACAUGCCAGGGAUUGACCCUGAGGUAGCAUGUCAUAAGCUGGCAAUAAAGAAAGGUGCUCGGGCAGUAAGGCAGAAGAGGAGGUGCUUCAACCAGGAGAGGUAUGAGGCUAUAAAUGGCGAGGUGGAGAAGCUCUUGAGAGCAGGGUUCAUUCGGGAAGUCAAUUACCCUGAAUGGAUAUCGAAUGUGGUGUUGGUAAAGAAAGCGAAUGGCAAGUGGAGGAUGUGUGUGGAUUUCACAGACCUCAAUAAGGCGUGCCCAAAGGACAGCUUCCCUUUACCAAAGAUCGAUCAGCUAGUAGAUUCAACGGCUGGACACGCUCUGCUUAGCUUCAUGGACGCGUUCUCGGGAUACAACCAGAUCCCCAUGUACGAGCAGGACGAGGAGAGCACGGUUUUCAUCACUAACCAGGGUUUGUUCUGUUAUAGGGUAAUGCCAUUUGGUCUCAAAAAUGCUGGGGCCACCUAUCAGAGGCUGGUGAACAAAGUCUUUAAGCCGUUGAUUGGGAAAACCAUGGAGGUGUACGUGGAUGACAUGAUCACCAAGUCCAAAAUCCCGAAGGAACAUGUCAGACACCUCGAGGAGACAUUCGAGCUUUUGAGGAAGUAUAAGAUGAAGCUCAACCCGGAGAAAUGUGCUUUUGGGGUUGAGUCGGGGAAGUUCCUUGGAUUCAUGGUGAGUCAUCGGGGGAUCGAAGCAAAUCCCGAGAAGAUCCAGGCGAUCGUGCAGAUGAGGUCUCCUCGUAGCCUGAAGGAAAUACAAAGCCUUACGGGGAGAUUGGCGGCAUUGAGCCGAUUCAUAUCCAAGGCUACAGAUAAGUGUCAACCAUUCUUUCAAGUGAUAAGGAGAGGAAAGAAAACAGAGUAGACCCCGGAAUGCGAGGAAGCCUUUCAGAACUUGAAGCAGUAUUUACAGCAAACCCCUCUGCUAUCCACACCGAGGGAUGGGGACAAGUUAUUUUUGUAUCUGGCAGUAUCGGAUCGGGCCGCCAGUUCUGUUCUGGUGAGAGAGGAAGAAGGAGUUCAGUAUCCAAUAUACUACACCAGCAAGGCCCUGCUCGACGCUGAGACCAGGUACCCACCGUUGGAGAAAUGGGCACUUGCCCUUGUGGUUGCUGCUCGGAAGUUGAGGCCAUAUUUUCAGGCAUUCCCAGUCUCGGUUAUAACAAACCAGCCAUUGCGUCAAACUCUGCACAAGCCCGAUGCUUCUGGUCGGCUCGUCAAGUGGGCUAUAGAGCUGAGCGAGUUCGACAUAGACUACAAACCCCGAGCAGCGAUGAGGGCUCAGGCAAUGGCCGAUUUCGUAGCAGAAUUCACAGAGCCUGAAGUAUGUUUAGACCAACAAGAUGUAGUUGCAGACAGUGGCGAAGCUCAAGUAUGGCAAAUGUCUGUAGAUGGGUCAUCAGGGGAGCAGGGAUCAGGAGCAGGGAUUGUAUUGGAAGGCCCGGAGGGGGAGGACAUCUCUUAUGCUGUAAAGUUAGAAUUCGCAGCAACAAAUAACCAGGCAGAGUAUGAAGCCUUGAUAGCAGGAUUGGAACUGGCUAAGGCCGUGAGAGCAGAUAGAGUGAAGAUCAGAACUGAUUCCCAGCUGGUUGCGAAUCAUGUCAGUGAAAGAUUCCAACCAAGAGAGGAGAAGAUGGAGCAGUACUUGAAGAUAGUUAGGCAGAUGAUGGGAAAAUUCAAAGCGGUGGAGGUAGUACAAAUCCCAAGGGAGCAGAAUAGUCGAGCAGAUAUUCUGGCCAGGAUGGCAGCGGUAGCAGACCCAAAAAUGCCAAAGUCGAUCCCUCUGGAGGUGAAGUCCAGCCCGAGCAUCGAGCCGAAUUCGGGGGUGCUGCGGAUAGAACAAAAAUGCUCGUGGAUGGACCCGAUAGUUUCAUACCUUAGAGACGGGGUAUUACCACCAGAUAAGCUGCGAGCUCGGAAGAUUAGAGCCCAGGCCUCGAGAUACACGAUGAUUGAUGGGAUACUGUAUCGGCGAGGAUAUACACUACCUUUCCUUCGAUGUUUGGAUGAGGACGACGCGGAUUACGUACUGAGAGAAGUACAUGAAAGAAUUUGCGGGAAUCAUUCUGGUGGGAGAUCCCUGGCCCACAAGGUUCUAAGGCAGGGAUAUUUCUGGCCGACAAUGCACCAGGAUGCACAGGAGAAGACCAGGAGCUGUGUAAGCUGCCAGAGUUUUGCAAGUUUCCCCAACCAACCACCAGAGAAGCUCACCUCUAUGGCCUCCCCUUGGCCAUUUGCUCAAUGGGGAAUUGAUCUGAUCGGCCCGCUGCCAAAGGGACGAGGAGCAGCAACGCAUGCAAUAGUUGCUAUAGAUUACUUCACGAAGUGGAUAGAGGUCGAAGCCCUUAGCAGGAUUACAGAGAAGAAAACGACAGACUUUGUGUGGAGAAACCUGGUCUGUCGAUACGGGAUCCCUUAUGCCUUGGUAACGGAUAAUGGCAGGCAGUUCGAUAAUCACAGCUUCAGGGAUUUCUGCCAGAACCUCGGGAUAGAGCUGAAGUAUUGCUCGCCUGCUCACCCUCAAUCGAAUGGACAAGUAGAAGCAGCCAACAAGACCAUCAAGAGACUUUUGAAAACCAGGCUUGGAGCAAAAAAGGGUACAUGGGUUGAUGAGCUGUCAGGUGUCCUAUGGGCAUACAGGACAACCCACAAAACAGCAACUGGGGAGACACCGUUCGCCCUGGCUUUCGGACAUGAAGCGGUCGUACCAGCUGAGAUAGGAACGACCACGCACCGGACAGACCAUUUCAAUGAGCAGGAGAACGACGAGCAGAUGUGUUUGAAUCUUGAUCUGCUAACGGAGAAGAGGGAGCAAGCAGUUGGUCGAUCAGCCAUUUACCAGCAAAGGGUUGCUCGCUAUUAUAACCAGAAGGUGAAUAUACGGCAAUUCAGGGUCGGAGACUGGGUACUGAGAAGAGUGAAUCAGAGCACUAAAGAUUCGACUCAAGGAGUGCUGGGACCGAAUUGGGAAGGGCCAUAUAGAGUCAAGUAGAUAGUGGGACCCGGAGCUUACAAGCUGGUUCGCACGGACGGCCACGAGGUGAAACGCCCAUGGAACGCAGCACACCUCCGAAAAUACUUCCAGUAAGACUUGUUCACAUUUGAAAGCUAUUUCUGCUCAUGUUCAUUAUCGUUUAUCUUUUACGCUUUAUGUCCAAACAAUUUCAUGUAAGUUGAAUCCUGCCAUUAAUGGAACGUCGAGGAAUUUCAUUCGCUUGAAACUGUGAAAAUUUCCUAAGGCAUGCAAAGUCUCACCAAAGUCUCAAAGCCUGUUUUAUGGCGAGACAGAAGCCAAGCGUGCCAGGAUCUGCUCGACCACGAGAAGGCGAGCAGAAUCCCAAUCCUUGAAGAACCAAAGGCAUGCAAAGGCUCAUCAAAGUCUCAAAGCCUGUUUUAUGGCGAGACAGAAGCCAAGCGUGCCAGGAUCUGCUCGACCACGAGAAGGCGAGCAGAAUCCCAAUCCUUGAAGAACCAAAGGCAUGCAAAGGCUCAUCAAAGUCUCAAAGCCUGUUUUAUGGCGAGACAGAAGCCAAGCGUGCCAGGAUCUGCUCGACCACGAGAAGGCGAGCAGAAUCCCAAUCCUUGAAGAACCAAAGGCAUGCAAAGGCUCAUCAAAGUCUCAAAGCCUGUUUUAUGGCGAGACAGAAGCCAAGCGUGCCAGGAUCUGCUCGACCACGAGAAGGCGAGCAGAAUCCCAAUCCUUGAAGAACCAAAGGCAUGCAAAGGCUCACCAAAGUCUCAAAGCCUGUUUUAUGGCGAGACCAGAAGCCAAGCGUGCCAAGAUCUGCUCGACCACGAGAAGGCGAGCAGAAUCCCAAGCAGUGAAGAAUUUACUAAGGCAUGCAAAGGCUCACCAAGUCUCAAAGCCUAUUUAUGGCGAGACCAGAAGCCAAGCGUGCUAGGAUCUGCUCGACCAAGCGAAGGCGAGCAGACUCCCAAACGUUGUAAAAAUUCCUAAGGCAUGCAAAGGCUCACCAAAGUUUCAAAGCCUGUUUAUGGCGAGACAGAAAGCCAAGCAUACCAGGAUCUGCUCAACCAAGCGAAGACGAGCAGACCACUAAAGUUUCCAGUCUUGAUUCGUUUCACUCUCAACACUAGAAACUGGGGGACUGGUGUUUAGGGAAUGAAAUAGGGUGACCAAGAUAAAGGUGUUUGCUCAUACAUUAUCGUGCUCUCCUCAAAGUAAAAGUGAGCAAAUGGUUGAGCAGAUCAUCUCGACCAGAAUAAUAUGUGGUGACCUCGAGCACAUCACCUCGACCAGGAUGUUAUUGGUCACCUCGACCAGGAAGUCACCAGGAAGCACGUCAUCCGCGAGGCCAAUUUCCUGCAAGAAGCAUAAAGCCAUUCCUGCUGUAUUCUUGCUAAGGGUUGAUUCGAGGAGACCCGGUCAACGACAGUUGGCGAGGCAUGCUCUCCAGCCCGAGAAUCUAGGCACGAAGGCCACGCAACCACCCAUGACUACGGAAAUGGGGAAUCCACGUUCGAGAGGUGGGAGGAUAACGGACGUAGACUGCGGAAAACUGGGAUUCAGAGGAAGCCUAUAAAAAGGUAGCCAACGAAGGUAAAAGGGUUGGCAAUUUUGAGAUUAGAAGAGAGCUAAAGAAAUUCUAAAGAAGAGAAAACUACGAAAAAGCCAUAAGAUCUGUGGCAAGCGUUCCCCGAACCUUCAUAUCUGACUUGAGCGUCGGAGGGUUUGCGCCGGGAAAACAACCGGCGUACUCUGACUUGUCUGUGUGCGCAGGAACCUCUGGAGAAGAAGCCUUACGAGGAGACCUCCUGGUCGUGGUGAAGUUGAUCGAGCAGAGAGCCUGGUCGUAGAACGAGGAGAACCAGAAUCUCGCAUCAACACCUUCUGAAAUCUUAAACUUUUCAAGGCUGACCCAUCUAAAUCUCUCUUUGUCUUAUUUUUCUGGUCAAAUACCCGCAGAGUUACUGGAGCUCUCCAAUUUGGAGGUCCUUGAUCUAGCAUUUUG
rnacentral:lncRNA from 1 species